rnacentral:lncRNA from 1 species
UUUCUCAAAUAUCUAUCCUAUCAGAUUGUUCUGGUAAAGGUAACCCAAGUGGACCAUGCUACUAUCGAGUCAAGUACAUACCAAUUAUAGUUAUGGGAUUAGACACCUAAUCCAACAGUCUCCCACUUGGAUAAGUCUAAUAACUAGUAUUGCAAGUACGACUCCAAAAUCCCGACUAGCAAUCGUAGCUCUCAAAAGCCGCUGUCGAACUCUGACCAAGUCAAUGACACAUCCAUUAGAUAAGGGAUCAUAUAUUCCUCCAUUCUAAAUAUUGUAUGAACUGAGACAUGGAUCAUAAUCAUUCUCUCUGGUCAUGUGUUGUUUCCCGAUUUCCGAUUUAUGACGACUGACUAAUCGAACAAAUCAAAUCAGUCCAGGCUUGGCCAAGCUCUUAGGGUUGUCAUCACUAAAUCAUCGAAGGGCCCACAUAUAUCGCUUUAAUCCCACAUUGGGUAAAAGUAAUGGACAAACUUCGACUCAAAUGCUUGCUUGUACUUACUCAUCAAAUCACACACAACAAUAUGUUUUAUAACACCAAGUUACUGGUGUGUUUACAUAUGUCAAUGUGCAACCGACUUGUAAACUACAACUCACAUGUCUUGGUUUCAAGAAUAUAAGAUAUUAUCAUCUCACACUCACUCAUGAUAAAAUCCAUGAAGUGAUUCAGAUGAGCGUAGGUUUAAUCCAAUACUCGAAUCUUAUUCCAGAAGUACUCAUGUACACUGCAGCAAACUUGUGUUAUGUCUAAAACACUUUAGACAAUCUACAGAUGGAUUCAUGACAGUCUUGCCUCAAUACAUACUUCCAAAGUAUGAUCAACUGUGGAUAGUUAGAAUAACCUAGUUACUCGGGAAGUCAAAACAUGCAAAGUGAAACACAAGAAUAAUCGAAUCCAAUAUGGUCUCAAAACUUUUGAAUAUAAAUAAAACACCUUUUAUUUAAUCACCAUAUUUAUUACACAUUAUUCAUUGUAUAUUGUUUUGAUUAAUCAACUUAAUACUUGAAUUAAAACAAUAGUUAUCCCAUGCUCCAAGCAUGCAAACUAUGUUUACCUAUGGUCCUUACUUUGUGAAAUAAAUCAAUUGUAUACAUUUCCAUUGAAACUCAUUGAUGAGAAAAAUAUUCUCUAAGAUCCAUAGAUUCAAUCAGAUAUCAAUGAAACGAAAAUGAGUAAUAGAAAACGAUACACACCAAGAUGAAUUGAACGAGUUUUGAAUGAUUAAUAUGCUCCACCUCAGAAGAAUUCAAUGAUAAUUUCUACUGUAAAGGUAGGCUAGGGUUACAGUACACAAUUAGUAAAAUAAUAAAGAAGAAGCGUCAUUAAUAUCAUGCAUGCAUGCACUAUAUAUAUACUAAACCCAAAAGCAAAACAUGGCUGGACAGGCCCAGAUCGAGUAUACAUGUGAACCGAAGAUAGAAGCCCAAAGACGCAACCUAUUAGACUCAACAAUCUCCCCCUUUGCAUCAAUUGGGGCGAGAAAUCAAGUUGGUUUAGCAAGAGUGUUUUUCUUCACCAUCUUGAAUAACAUGGUUAUGAUGGCAAGAAGAGUUUGGCGAAACGAAAUGUACAACCGAAGCAUAUCCGUAAAGUUCUUCUUGUCACCUUCACUAUUCAGUUUGCACCUGUGUAUGAUAUCAAUAAUAUACUCCAAACAUGUAGUGGAGAACAGGUGUUUAUCGUCGAGAGCGAACACAAAUCUUUGACCUUCGCCUCUAGUGAACAUGACAAUGUUAUACUUCGAAUUAAUUUUGACCAUCUGCAUUCUGUUCGCAUCACCAGUCUUCCCAAUCGGUUUGACAAUUGGCUUCUUCCUUAAAACACUUGCAAUCUCUUGAUCCAUCUUUGCAACCUCCAUGAUGUAAGAGGCUAACAUUCUCUUGAUGUGAGUAAUUAUAGGCUCAUACUAUUUCUGCUCAGUCAGCAAAAUGUUGUUGAGAAUGACCCAAUCAAGUGGAUUCAAAUUCGGUAGAUCAGCUAAUGAGAUCAUAUGGACCGAACUGUCUGAUCCUCGAGUCACUUUGAAUUUGACAUUUAUAAAAGAACCCGCAGGAGUCGGUUUCAAUACCUUAACUGAUGUAAUCUUUCGAGACACGUUAAUUAUUGAGGUUGAGAGAAUUCAAGAUAGUAGUUGAUUAGUUCUCGAUCAACCUUUGGAUCAGGAAAAGGAACGUUGACAGUUGAAUUGAAACAGUGAAAUACAAAGGCCCUUCGGGUGAUAGGCAUGUAAAACUGAGAAUCCCUUGUAUUCUCACAGUCAAAAGAGACGACUGGUUCAAGCCAAUGAGUUCUAGGGGACUCAAUUGCUUCCUUGAUCAAUUUCUUCAAUGACCAUAGUGGAAAGAGAGCUUGUCUACAAACCAAAGUGUCAUGAGCAUCUUUCUCUCUUUUCUCCCUUUCUUCUUCAGUUUCCUUUUCUUCGGUACUUAGAUCCACAAUGCCCUUCCUUUUGUCCUUCACACUAUAACCUGAAGCUUCAUUACCCUUCGGUUUAGUGGUGACAAUCAGAAUUGUAGAUGACUGUUUGGGAGGGUUUUGCAGAUCUUAUUCCCCUUGUUGUGGAGUAACAAUUGGCUCCGUAACACCUUCAAUUCGGCUCAAAAUUUCGAGAGCAGGAAGUAACUUCUCAGUUAAGUGGUUUCAAACAGAGAAAGUUAGAAUCAAAUCAUGGGCAAUGACCAAAUUGGAGAGAAUAGCGAAGACAUCAGAGAAACAACUCUUGAUAACAGCUCGCUCCGACUUUAGAGAAUCAAUCUUCUUAUUCGCCUGGGUUAGCUUAACGAACUAAACUUCAAGCAAAUUAGUUUUGCGAGCAAGUUCAUCCAUAAUAUUGUUCUUCAUGGCAAGGUCAGUUUGAAGCGUGUCAUGGCGAGAGGUGAUCGACGACAGAAGAGUGGCUUGAUCGUCUUGAAGACUGGUUCUCACCGAAUCAAAUUUAUCUUUCUCAACCUGAAGAGAUGUUGACAGUGACUCAAUGGCAGUGUUAACCUUGUUGGUGUUAGUCUUUGUAGCGUCUUUAAGAUAUUCCAGAAGAAGCUUGGCAUCUGAAAUGAACAUGGCUACGUCUUCUGAUGCUUUCUUACAAGACAAAGUGGAGGCAUCCACAACCUUGGUUACCUUUUAGAUAGACUCAUCAUGCUGUUUGAGAGUUGUUUCAAUUAAGGCUUGAACAACAGUAUCUGAGUAAGAGGAUGUGGAGGAAGUGGAUGAUGAAGCGAGCAGCUUGUCAAGCUUUUCAUUUAAAUCUUUUAAGUGUCACUUUGUAAGGGGAGCAUCAUCAUCAUCAUCAUCAUCACUUUGAACUCGAUAAGGGCUAUAGUAAUAAGACUCGAAUUCAAGUUCGUCUCCACCAAGAAUAGGGAAAGAGUCUGUUAAAGGAGAUAAGGAAAUGGUUUUGGAAAUAACAGGGGUUUCGGUUUCUGAGGUAGGUUCCCCCGUAUCAAAUACGUUGACAUGAACCGUAGGUUCGGGUGUGUUGGUUGUUGUGGAAGUUGUUUGAGUGAAGAUUGGUGGAGGGAGAGGUGCAGUAGAGGUUGGUUGAGAAGUAGUAGGUGGUGGAAGUGGUGCAAUGGAAAUAGGUACUGAAGUAUGAAAUGGAGAAGGAGGAUGAGUUGGAAUUGAGUCAUUUAGUUGUACCUCGGGAGAUGGAGAACGUGGAGGCGAAUCUCCUCUCGGUGAUCCUUUAAGAUUAGCAUCGUCACCUUUGGCGAAAUUCUCAUGAUCGUGAUCGGAAGGAACGUGAUCCAAGUCACUAGGUGAAGCUUGCUUCGGUUUCCUUGCCAUCUUCUUCACCUUUCACUUCUUUGGAGCAGAAGAAACCGCUUGUUCGACCUUACGCUUUUUGGGCGUAGAGGCUUUGGAGGAUUGAUCUUCUUUCUCAUGCUUAUUUUGAUCAGGCUUCUUCCCAUGUUUGGCUGGUUUAUCAACGGUAUCCAGUGCACUUUGCCUCUCAGGAGUUAAUUGCCUCGGUCCUAUGGGUGGGAGGGUCCUGUAUUCAGCCAUGACCUUGCUUUCGGCAGUGACGCACCUAUAUAUCGAUUCUGGAAUGGAACCAACAAACGAGAAUUUGGUUGGAUCGGAGACUAUGAUCUUCGUUGUAUGAAAAUUUGCAAUUAAAGAUCUUAAUGCGUCCGCCAUGACUAGAACAUUAAACUUCUCAAUGACCCGAUGAGUGACAAGGGUCCAAAACCUACCGCAUGAGAUUUCAGAGUGUCGAGAAGAGGAAUUGAGGCUUUGUACUAGUUGGGACCACAAAAUGGAUCCAUAUUCCAAGUUGAUGUCGUGAUAAAUACCAUAGAGUAAGGUCAUAAAGGCCUUGCUAGCACCAUAUGACCCAGCAACCCUUUCAGCAAAUGCCUUGAAAAGAAGGGUAAACAAUCUAUUCCACUGUGAUGGGAGGCAAUAUUUCUUGAACCUGGUCACUGUUGCAAGAGGAUCAGUAUACCCCUUAUCGUAAAACAUUAUGAAAAGUUGAGUCGUAGAGAUGGAGUCAGGAUUAACCAAGGAAUCAUCAAAAGCCAACUUUAAGAGGGAGCAAAAUCGAACUCUGGAGACGGAAGUUUUGUGAUUGAAAAUCUCAAAGAAAAUGAGAUCCUUGCUUUUGUCAUAAGAAGCCGUUGUAUAGACUUGAGAGAGCAAAGACAUCAGAACUGAUUCCACCUGGGUCAUAGCGAUGACAAGUGGUGAAUAUUUGAGGCAUUCAACCACUUGGAGCAUAUAGGGAUCAUAUAGAAAAGGAUUCAGAUCGAUAAUCAGGUUCUGGUUGGGAUUGAUGGUCAACAGAGAGGAUGAGGUAGUUUGUUCAUGAACGGAUGAAGAUUCAACCAUUGUUGCAGGUGUGAAGAAGAAGAUGAAUAGUAGAAGUUCGUCAGUGUGUUCUUGAGAGAUUUUGGAGGUGAUAAAGUGGUACAAGAGGUGUGAGAAAACCUUAUAUACCAUUCCCUAUAAAAGCGCGAUUUGAGAGCUGUGUUUCCCUAGGAGGACAUCACUAGGCAUGCUGUUAGGAAGCGUUUCAAAUUCAUGCGCCCAUUGCAAUGCAUAUCCAAUGACUCGGUUUGAAAUCUUAUCUUUUUACUUCCUUUCCAACUUCAAAAAUGUUUCAAAUACUUUUUCAAACUGUGACAGACCUUUCGCUGCAUGUAAGGCAGCAAUGUUCGCGCCUCAACAUAGUGUACCACCAUUGCAUUUAAAACCGAAGCUUCAAAACUGAAAAAAUUGCCAUUAGUACCACGAACAAGAAUUGGGAAAAUCAUAAAGAUCUUCGUGCAAGAGUGUGCCAAUAGAAAAGAAAUAAAGCAAAGUAUUUGUGGGAUUUAAGUGAUGUCUAUUUAGACAUGAAACUAUGGAUCCCGGGCACGAAUGGCUUCCUUUAAAGUUAAGAGAGACUUAGAAGUGUUUGUGUGGUUUCCCGUUGAAAUACGAUCAAUUGUUUAUUAUGAAACAUUGAAAGACAUCUUUUCAAAUUCAAGCUAUAAGGGGUGGCUUAGCAUCAACCGAACUUUAGUACUUGACAUAAGACUGAAAGUUGGAUGAAGUACUUGUGAGACUAGUGUGGCCUAUGAAACAAGUAGUUUUGAUAAUAUAUUCAGUGAGUUAAUGAUAUUUAUGUAGAAAUCUUAAAAAAAAAAAAUAAAAACUGGAUCUUUUGGGAAGAAAAGUCUUGGUGUUAGACAAAUUCAUAAAGAUCACAGAAAAAUAAAAAAGAUUUCAAGGUACAGACCAUCAAAGUGGUUUCGCUAAUUCAUGGGUGAAAAACUAGAACUUUGGAGUGUUCACCGUAAAUUCGUUUAAGAUAUUGGAUUUUGGAUCUCACUUAGCAUGUGGUGAAACGAAACUAAGAUCAUCAACACAGAUGUUGUGUAACCAUAAACCUCAAGUGGUAAAUUCUGAGAGUCUCAAGGGUUACGAUUAUGAACCGAAAUGAGAUGGAGAUAUAUGAAUAGUUGGUUAAAGAACCAAAAGUACCUCUGCUAUUAACAACGGACCCAACAUAUAACUCUUAACUCAAUGUGAGAAGAGUAAGGUAGCUCAUGACUUGAGUGAUUUUAUCAACCUAAUUGGGAAGAAACGAUUUGUAUAUAUCGAAUCAGUAAGGCUUCACUCAAAGUCUUGGAGGAUUUGGUCGACAUGCAGCAGCAUGCUUCUAGGGACACUUAGCUAGUACAUAUAUAAAGAAUGUUAUACGUGUCCCAGCUCCAUCACGUAAUCGCAUCUGUGAUAGUGAAAUAUAAAAUUUUGGAAUUUUGGAAUUAUUCAAGAUAAGAAAAGAAAAAUAACUAAACGAAGUAAAAAAGAAAAUAUUUUUGUUGAUUUAAAAAAAACAGAAAAUAAAAAUAUUUUUGGAUUUUAUGAAUUUUCUGAAAAAGAAAUAAAAACAGAAAAGAAAAUAUUUUUGAGUUUUGGAAAUUAAUUGAAGACAUAAAGUAGAGUAAGAAAAAUAUAUACAUAGUAUACAAAGGAUAUGUAAGUUCCAAACCAUAAGAUGAAACAAUCGCUCGCUUUGAAAAAUUAUAAGAGGCGAAAUAGACCGAGCCUUCGGUUCUUUUGGUUCCUGAACAACCAGGAGCCGAAAUAGACCGAGGGUUCGGUUCAUUUAGGUUGUUAGAAAAUUUAAAGAAAGUGAAAGUGAAAGUUAUACUUAAUGAAAUGAGUGUGGUUUUGGAACUGACUCAGCUUCCAUCAUUCCUAAGCCUUGUAAAAUUUUAACAAACGAUGCUUCUCGUAAGGCCUUAGUAAAAGCUAAUUGAUCAGAGGUCCGAACGAAGUGAAUUUCUACAUUCCCAUCUUUUACGUGAUCCUUGAUGAAGUGAUAUCUCAGUGCUAUGUGUUUUGUCUUGGAGUGUUGCACUUGAUUAUGACAAAUCCUGAUUGUGCUUUCAGAAUCGCAAUAAAGAGGAAUCUUCUUCAUAUUCAGGCCAUAAUCUCUUAACUGGCUUUGGAUCUAAAUGACCUAGUAGGUGCAAGAUGUUGCAGCAAUGUAUUCAACUUCGGCCAUAGAGAGUGAAACGCAUGUUUGUUUCUUGGACUGCCAUCUGACGAGUUUACCAUCGAGGAAUUGACAUCCGCCUGUAGUGCUCUUUCUGUCCAAACCGCAUCCUCCAAGAUUAGCAUCAGAGAAUGCUUAAACGAAAAAUUAUGAUUGAGCAGGAUACCACAAAUCGAGAGAUGAGGUUCGCUUCAAAUAUCUGAAGAUGUUCUUAACAGGCACCAUAUGAGGUUCUCGCAGAUUAGCUUGGAACCUGGCACAGUAACAAACAGAAAACAUAAUGUCUGGUCUACUAGAUAUUAGAUACAUUAGAGACCUUAUCAUUUGCUGAUAGAGGGUCAUAUCAGCAGUCGGUUUCUCCAAAGAUGGUGUUAACUUCGUUCCAAAUGCCAUAGGAACCUUCACUUUGAAAUCUCCCAUCAUCCGGUUUGGGUUCGCUUUUGAGGAAUUCAGAGCAGUCAACCUCAUCCUCCACAUAAAUUUCACUCAAAUCACUGUCCUCAUUAAAUUCAGAAGAAUUUUCCACAUUCAUCUUAUUUUUUGAACUUAAUUUGGUACUCAAUGAGUCAAAUUUGUGCAUGGUUUCGGUCUUUAUUUUCAAUUUGUCAUUUCCGUCCAAUAAAUUCCUAAGCAUGUCCUUAUGGUCUUUGGAUUUAAUAAAGGACUCAAUUUUGUCCAGACCAAUCCUGUAAGCAUCUGAAACCUCAUCUGAUGAUACAAUGGAUUCACAAUUGUAGCAAUCAAUAUCGACUUCAUCCUCCUUAAAUUCAAUAAAGGGAAAAAUAUUUUGUGAACCUUUUUGCCAAUGUCACAAUUCAAAUGUAACUGAGUAAUAUUAGUGUAAAGACGUUUAGCAAUUAAACAAAAAAUGUUCCUUUGUUUUAAAAACUUCAAAUUGUAACGUUGCAAAUAUAUCAACUCAUCUCUCGUUCUAACUAAGUCUAACUCCGUCUUCUCGAUCCAUAUCCUUCGCUCCUCACUAUUGGAUGUCACCCUGCUAAUUUGAUCGGUUAGGUUAGCAUUUGUGAGGCGUGUUUGCAUUAGUCUUCCACUUAAACUAGAAAAUUUGAAUUUUAAUUCAUUUAAUUCCUUUUCAUUGUUUGUUACAGGUAUUUUAAGUGAUUCGAGAAUGGAUUGUACCUUCUUGAUCAAUUGAUCGCAGUCGUUGAUCCUUUCGCUCACAAGUUUGGCAGCAAAACACUUAUCUUCCUUCUGAUUCGCCUCAUCACACUCGCCUUCGGUUGUGUAACCCCUCAUUUGUGACACUCUAGCUGUCACCAUCAAGCAUCUCCCAGCAAGCUCAUCACUAUCUUCUUUCGCCACAAAACCCUUGCCAUGCGUGGGUUUACGUACCUCUUCAUCUUUAGAGUCUGUCGACCAGACCUCCACACCACCAAACUCAUAAUCAACAACGUUCUCCUGCACAAUCAAAUCAUUCAUAGAAUUGCUAGAGGCUUUCUUCUUCUUUAUCUCCUCCAGCUUGCGCAUAUGGUAUGGUUCGUCAUCUUCACCCUCCUUCUUCUCUGAUAGCUUUCUUAACAUGUAAUCUUUGGCAAAGUGGUUUUUGCCAUGACGGAAGUUGCAAUCGUAUCUGGAGUCUCCUACCAGUUUGCUCUCCUAUUUCUCUUCUUCUUUCUGAGGAUUACUUUUUAUCUCCUCUUUCGCUUUUUCUGAGUUGUAGCUUCCCUGUCAGUUUCGGUUUUUGGCAACAGGGAACUUUUUGCGAGCAAACCGCUUCGGGAUGGAAACCAUCAUUGCAUACUCUUUGCUUUCCAGAUCACAUUCUGACAUUUCUGACUCUUCUUUAUCUUCUGCCACAUUCUUCGCUUUAGAUGAAAGGGCGAAGGAUCCCAUACUAGACACCACUUUCGCUUCCUUUGUCACAACACUUUCAUGAGAUUUGAGAAUACCCACCAUCUUUGCUAGUGAAUAGGUUUUAAACUAUUUGUGAGCCUUCCAGUUGAUGCCAUAACCAUCCAUUCUGGUCUUAAAUUCAGAAAUGUGACCUUCUGUUCGAUCACUUCUCUUCCAAUACCGUGCUUGAACAUCUUGCUCAAAAGAUGGUUGAAACCAUCGAAUGCCUGAAUAAGUUUUUCAUCUGGCUUUUGUUGGAAAGCAUCGAACUCAAAGAGCAGUAGAGUUUGAAUAGAAUGUUCCAGGUCCUCAUCAGUGGAAAUACAACUCUUUAAGUCUAUCCCAGAUUUCUUUUGUCGUGGUGCAUGGGCUUACCAAACGAAAAGUAUCGGACUGUAAAGCAAAUCUGAUCAUUCUCAUGGCUUUAAUGACAUCACACAACUUCUGUUUUUCGUCUUGAGGAAUCUUCUCCAUGUCAGUUAAGAGUUUGUUGUACUCCUUUUGAGUCUUAAUGGUUCUAUUUGUUCCAGAAUGAACAAAAGGACCAAAUGUUAUUGCUUCCCAGAUAAGAUAACCAUUGUCUUUAGAACCAACGACAUAGUCCUCAAAGGGAUGCGUCCAAACUUCAUAGUCUUGAGUGUAUAGAAUCUUGAUUUUGGUUGUGGAUCCAAUACUAUUGGAGAUAUUGAUCGGACUGGUUUGUGAAUCAUCUUGAGACAUGAUGACCUUUUUCAGAUAUCUGCAAGAAUCAGACUUGUAAAUAUUGAAUUAGGGUUUUAUCAAAAGCAAGAAAAAACGUCAAUGAAGAGAUGACGACUCCUAUGGAUUCGAUAAACCUAGAAACUCUAAAAAUAUUCUUCCAAUAGAAGAUAUGCGUAUGUAUUACACAGUCUCCUGCUCUGAUACCAGUUGAUGAGAAAAAUAUUCUCUAAGAUCGAUGGAUUCAAUCAGAUAUCAAUGAAACGAAAACAAGUAAUAGAAAAUGAUAAACACCAAGAUGAAUCAAAUGAGUGUCGAAUGAUUAAUAUGCUCCACCUCAGAAGAAUUCAAUGAGAAUUGCUACUGUAGAGGUAGGCUAUGAUUGCAGUAGACGAUUAGUAAAAUAAUAAACAAGAAGCGUCAUUAAUAUAAUGCAUGCAUGCACUAUAUAUACUAAACCCUAAAACAAAACACGGCUGGACACGCCCAGACCGAGUAUGCAUAUGGACCGAAGAUCUAUGCCCAAAGACGCAACGUCUUAGACUCAACACUCAUUUCAAAAUUCCAAAUCCUUAUCGUAAGUUUAAGGAUACCAAGUCCUUGCCACUUACUGUAAUUUGUUAGAUUCUAAGCUUAUAUGCAAUGAUCCUUUUGUAAUGACUAUGCACAAAAGUCAUAUAGACCUGGCAAAAGACAUUACAAUGUAUUCCCUUUGGACAUUGGUUAUUGGACCAAUUCCAUGGAAGCGAAGUCUCAUAUUCAAGGUGCAUUCCUUUGAACAUCCUUCUUGCAUAAAAGUUUCUAACUUACUCAUAUAUUCAUGAUAUCCAACUCCCAUUAUGGAAACCUUUCCAUAAUUGCCAUAUGACUAUCCAUUAUCAAUAGAAUCUAUGUAUUCAAAUCAUAUCAAUAUGGACCAUUCAUUACUAUACUUCCAACUGUCCACAAGCAACCAAUCCUUGCUAAACCUCUGGUCGUCCUUGACAGUUGUUUAAUAACUUUAGUCAUAUCCGAUUAUAGUCCUUUUUCCCUCUUAAUGACCUAGGCAUUUGGAAAAUUAGAAC